rnacentral:rRNA from 1 species
GACAGAGGGGGCAAGCGUUGCUCGGAAUCACUGGGCGUAAAGGGCGCGUAGGCGGGAUGGCAAGUCAGUCGUGAAAUCUCUCGGCUCAACCGAGAAACGUCGGCUGAUACUGCCGUUCUUGAGGGAUGCAGAGGAGACUGGAAUUCCCGGUGUAGCGGUGAAAUGUGUAGAGAUCGGGAGGAACACCGGUGGCGAAGGCGGGUCUCUGGGCAUUUCCUGACGCUGAGGCGCGAAAGCGUGGGGAGCAAGCGGG